rnacentral:rRNA from 1 species
GACGAACGCUGGCGGCGUGCCUAAUACAUGCAAGUAGAACGCUGAAGGAGGAGCUUGCUUCUCUGGAUGAGUUGCGAACGGGUGAGUAACGCGUAGGUAACCUGCCUGGUAGCGGGGGAUAACUAUUGGAAACGAUAGCUAAUACCGCAUAAGAGUAGAUGUUGCAUGACAUUUGCUUAAAAGGUGCAAUUGCAUCACUACCAGAUGGACCUGCGUUGUAUUAGCUAGUUGGUGGGGUAACGGCUCACCAAGGCGACGAUACAUAGCCGACCUGAGAGGGGGGUCGGCCACACUGGGACGGAGACACGGCCCAGACCCCUACGGGAGGCAGCAGGAGGGAAUCUUCGGCAAUGGACGGAAGUCUGACCGAGCAACGCCGCGUGAGUGAAGAAGGUUUUCGGAUCGUAAAGCUCUGUUGUAAGAGAAGAACGAGUGUGAGAGUGGAAAGUUCACACUGUGACGGUAUCUUACCAGAAAGGGACGGCUAACUACGUG